rnacentral:rRNA from 1 species
GAUGAACGCUGGCGGCGUGCCUAAUACAUGCAAGUCGAGCGAACAGACGAGGAGCUUGCUCCUCUGACGUUAGCGGCGGACGGGUGAGUAACACGUGGAUAACCUACCUAUAAGACUGGGAUAACUUCGGGAAACCGGAGCUAAUACCGGAUAAUAUAUUGAACCGCAUGGUUCAAUAGUGAAAGACGGUUUUGCUGUCACUUAUAGAUUGAUCCGCGCCGCAUUAGCUAGUUGGUAAGGUAACGGCUUACCAAGGCGACGAUGCGUAGCCGACCUGAGAGGGUGAUCGGCCACACUGGAACUGAGACACGGUCCAGACUCCUACGGGAGGCAGCAGUAGGGAAUCUUCCGCAAUGGGCGAAAGCCUGACGGAGCAACGCCGCGUGAGUGAUGAAGGUCUUCGGAUCGUAAAACUCUGUUAUUAGGGAAGAACAAAUGUGUAAGUAACUAUGCACGUCUUGACGGUACCUAAUCAGAAAGCCACAGCUAACUACGUG